CGGGGUGAGUAAUGUCUGGGAAACGGCCUGAUGGAGGGGGAUAACUACUGGAAACGGUAGCUAAUACCGCAUAACGUCGCAAGACCAAAGAGGGGGACCUUAGGGCCUCUUGCCAUCGGAUGUGCCCAGAUGGGAUUAGCUAGUAGGUGGGGUAAUGGCUCACCUAGGCGACGAUCCCUAGCUGGUCUGAGAGGAUGACCAGCCACACUGGAACUGAGACACGGUCCAG
rnacentral:rRNA from 1 species